GUGAGGAAUAUUGCGCAAUGGCCGAAAGGCUGACGCAGCGACGCCGCGUGAAGGAUGAAGUCCGUUAGGAUGUAAACUUCUUUUGUAGGUGAUGAAUGUCCCGAACUUGUUCGGGAUUGACCGUAGCCUACGAAUAAGGAUCGGCCAACUACGUGCCAGCAGCCGCGGUAAUACGUAGGAUCCGAGCGUUGUCCGGAAUUACUGGGUGUAAAGGGCGUGUAGGUGGACCUUUAAGUCGGUGGUGAAAUUUUGCAGCUUAACUGUAAAACUGCCAUCGAUACUGGGGGUCUUGAGUGCGGCAGAGGGAGAUGGAAUUCAUGGUGUAGCGGUGAAAUGUGUAGAUAUCAUGAAGAACACCGGUAGCGAAGGCGGUCUCCUGGUCCGUAACUGACACUGAGGCGCGAAAGCGUGGGGAGCAAACAGGAUUAGAAACCCCGGUAGUCC
rnacentral:rRNA from 1 species